rnacentral:tRNA from 1 species
GACGCUGCUGGCCGGCGGACACUACGGCACCGGCCUCAAGGGCUGGAGCCGGCUGGUGAAGUUCCAGCAGGGCUGCUCCGCCGACCCGGCGGUGC